CUUGGAGGCAAGAUCUAAUCAUUCAUUUACAUUUGAAUGACCCAUUAUUUGUCUUUUCCACAUUGAAAAGGGAUGUUGAUGACAAACUAAAUCGUUUGAUCUAUGUUAGGAACGUUUUACUUAAAACUUUCUCUAAGUUUGACUGUGGUUGCUAGCAAAAGUGACAUUGUUUUUACUAAAUAUUUACCUUGAGUAUAGGUACACACAAAGGAGCCAACACGGAAGAGCAGUCUAAUAGAUCAACCAAUAGAGAGAGAGCAACAACAUCC
rnacentral:lncRNA from 1 species